rnacentral:rRNA from 1 species
UCCUACGGGACGCAGCAGUGGGGGAUAUUGCACAAUGGGGGAAACCCUGAUGCAGCGACGCCGCGUGAGUGAAGAAGUAUUUCGGUACGUAAAGCUCUAUCAGCAGGGAAGAAUAAUGACGGUACCUGACUAAGAAGCCCCGGCUAACUACGUGCCAGCAGCCGCGGUAAUACGUAGGGGGCAAGCGUUAUCCGGAUUUACUGGGUGUAAAGGGAGCGUAGACGGCAGAGCAAGUAUGAAGUGAAAGCCCGCGGCCCAACUGCGGGACUGCUUUGGAAACUGCCCGGCUAGAGUGCUGGAGAGGG